rnacentral:rRNA from 1 species
CGAUUAGAGUUUGAUCCUGGCUCAGAUUGAACGCUGGCGGCAGGCCUAACACAUGCAAGUCGAGCGGUAGAGAGAAGCUUGCUUCUCUUGAGAGCGGCGGACGGGUGAGUAAUGCCUAGGAAUCUGCCUGGUAGUGGGGGAUAACGCUCGGAAACGGACGCUAAUACCGCAUACGUCCUACGGGAGAAAGCAGGGGACCUUCGGGCCUUGCGCUAUCAGAUGAGCCUAGGUCGGAUUAGCUAGUUGGUGAGGUAAUGGCUCACCAAGGCGACGAUCCGUAACUGGUCUGAGAGGAUGAUCAGUCACACUGGAACUGAGACACGGUCCAGACUCCUACGGGAGGCAGCAGUGGGGAAUAUUGGACAAUGGGCGAAAGCCUGAUCCAGCCAUGCCGCGUGUGUGAAGAAGGUCUUCGGAUUGUAAAGCACUUUAAGUUGGGAGGAAGGAUUGUAGAUUAAUACUCUGCAAUUUUGACGUUACCGACAGAAUAAGCACCGGCUAACCCUGUGCCAGCAGCCGCGGUAAUACAGAGGGUGCAAGCGUUAAUCGG